AUGUCAGACUUGAACAACUUUAAUCCUAGAUCCUUGAUGCACUUUUGUGGUCUGUUAUCAGUGGUACUUGUGAGAACCAAUCCUUUUGUAAUGAUAUCUAAAUCUGAAAUGAUGACUUCUGGCAUUUGCUUUAUUAUCUACCUCUGUGAUAAACCUUGCAUUUGUAUUAAGAGCAAGCUGUGGUGUGGUGAUCUGUGGUCAUGGGAUCUUGUUUAUUACCUCUUGCUUGUCUGGCUCUGUUUGGCUGGUUUUUUCAGUAUAAAAGUGGCAGUUGCAGAUACCUUAUUAUCUGGAGAUGAAUAG
rnacentral:rRNA from 1 species